rnacentral:rRNA from 1 species
UACAGAGGUGGCAAGCGUUGUUCGGAAUUAUUGGGCGUAAAGAGCUCGUAGGCGGUUUGUCGCGUCUGCCGUGAAAGUCCGGGGCUCAACUCCGGAUCUGCGGUGGGUACGGGCAGACUAGAGUGAUGUAGGGGAGACUGGAAUUCCUGGUGUAGCGGUGAAAUGCGCAGAUAUCAGGAGGAACACCCGUAGCGAAGGCGGCACUCUGGGCCGAUACUGACACUGAGGAGCGAAAGCGUGGGGAGCGAACAGG